rnacentral:rRNA from 1 species
CCUACGGGAGGCAGCAGUGAGGAAUAUUGGUCAAUGGGCGAGAGCCUGAACCAGCCAAGUCGCGUGAAGGAAGACGGCCCUACGGGUUGUAAACCUCUUUUGCCGGGGAGCAACGGGCGCCACGUGUGGCGCCACUGAGAGUACCCGGAGAAAAAGCAUCGGCUAACUCCGUGCCAGCAGCCGCGGUAAUACGGAGGAUGCGAGCGUUAUCCGGAUUUAUUGGGUUUAAAGGGUGCGUAGGCGGAGCGUUAAGUCAGUGGUAAAAUUGAGGGGCUCAACCCCGUCCUGCCAUUGAAACUGGCGUUCUUGAGUGGAAGAGAAGUAUGCGGAAUGCGUGGUGUAGCGGUGAAAUGCAUAGAUAUCACGCAGAACCCCGAUUGCGAAGGCAGCAUGCCGGCUUCCUACUGACGCUGAAGCACGAAAGCGUGGGGAUCGAACAGGAUUAGAUACCCUUGUAGUC